GGAGUCGUACCCAAGCUGGCCGAAGGGACCGCACUCGAAAUGCGGCAGGUCGCGCAAGCGGCGCGAGGGUUCAAAUCCCUCCGACUCCG
rnacentral:tRNA from 2 species